rnacentral:rRNA from 1 species
AGUGAACGCUGGCGGUAGGCCUAACACAUGCAAGUCGAACGGCAGCACAGUAAGAGCUUGCUCUUACGGGUGGCGAGUGGCGGACGGGUGAGGAAUACAUCGGAAUCUACUUUUUCGUGGGGGAUAACGUAGGGAAACUUACGCUAAUACCGCAUACGACCUACGGGUGAAAGCAGGGGAUCUUCGGACCUUGCGCGAUUGAAUGAGCCGAUGUCGGAUUAGCUAGUUGGCGGGGUAAAGGCCCACCAAGGCGACGAUCCGUAGCUGGUCUGAGAGGAUGAUCAGCCACACUGGAACUGGGACACGGUCCAGACUCCUCCGGGAGGCAGCAGUGGGGAAUAUUGGACAAUGGGCGCAAGCCUGAUCCAGCCAUACCGCGUGGGUGAAGAAGGCCUUCGGGUUGUAAAGCCCUUUUGUUGGGAAAGAAAAGCAGCAGGUUAAUACCCCGCUGUUCUGACGGUACCCAAAGAAUAAGCACCGGCUAACUUCGUG